rnacentral:lncRNA from 1 species
AGAGCAGGAGCUUGUCCAACUGCUGAAGCAAAAAGUUUAGCCUGUAACUGCUGUACUGACUUACCAAAACUAAAGUACUGACAUCUGAAGCUAGGUGAGCAACAAACAUGUCUUUCACUAA